rnacentral:rRNA from 1 species
UACGGGGGGAGCAAGCGUUGUUCGGAUUUACUGGGCGUAAAGGGCGCGUAGGCGGUCAGCACAAGUCAGUUGUGAAAUCUCUGGGCUUAACCCAGAACGGCCAAGUGAAACUGUUGUGCUAGAGUGCGGAAGGGGCAAUCGGAAUUCUCGGUGUAGCGGUGAAAUGCGUAGAUAUCGAGAGGAACACCAGAGGUGAAGACGGGUUGCUGGGCCGACACUGACGCUGAGGCGCGAAAGCCAGGGGAGCAAACGGG